ensembl:snoRNA Small nucleolar RNA SNORD47
AACCUGUGAUGAAGAGAUUCUGCCAAAUGAAUUUGCUGAUUAUACCCUUUCCGUUCCACUUAUUUCUGAGGUU